GCUUCCGUUACCGAGACAACCAGGUCAUGUGACGGGGGAGUGGCUGAGAAUCCCGAAGAUUCCGCUCAGAACGUGACGGAGGAUUCGGGGGCGGGGCUUAACCGGCAGCUAGAAAGCCUGGGACUAAAUUCUGAUGGGCGGGGCGCUGAGGAGAGGGAGAGCGAGGAGAUCAGCAGCAUCCAUCAAUCCAGCCUCGAUGAAGUAGAUGACAAUUGCUUUAUUGAAUCACCAGCAGCCGAGGAGAGGACAGAGAGUCAGACACAGG